rnacentral:ncRNA from 2 species
UACGUAGGGGGCAAGCGUUGUCCGGAUUUACUGGGUGUAAAGGGCGCGUAGGCGGGUUUGUAAGUCAGAGGUGAAAUCCUGCGGCUCAACCGUAGAACUGCCUUUGAUACUGCAAACCUUGAGUUCAGAAGAGAGUGACGGAAUUCCAGGUGUAGUGGUGAAAUACGUAGAUAUCUGGAAGAACACCAGUGGCGAAGGCGGUCACUUGGUCUGUAACUGACGCUGAGGCGCGAAAGCGUGGGGAGCGAACAGG